UUUUUUUAGUUUCCCUCUCAUAGUUAUUUUCUUUUCUAAUUUUUUUUAAGAUUAAAAAAAGAAAAAAAAAAUUGAAAAGGUAAAUAUAUCUUCACCUCUUCCAUCGAAUCAUAAUACUUCUUCAGAUUUUCCAAACCCUAAAUUCAUCUUCGCCUCCUCCACCGAAUCAAACCCUAUAAUCAAUCUUCGUCUCUUAUCAUUUCAAAUUCAUGUGUGUUGUUUCAAAUCCGUAACUGCAAAUCUCUCUCUCACCUCACGCCGCUGUGAAAGCUCUCGCUGCUUCACUAAGAUCUCUCCAACGACUGCUACUGAAGAGAGGAUUCAACAGAGAAUUCGUCGUCGCAAUCAUGGGUAAGAUUCACGGAUCACUCGCUCGUGCCGGUAAGGUGAGAGUCCAAAUAGGGCAAGAAGAAGAAGCCUCGUGGUCAUGCCCACAAGCGCUUGCAGUACAAUCUCAGAUUCGUCACUGCUGAUGGCAAAGAAGUUUAUGGAGGUUGCAAAGGCUGAAAGGCUUCAAGUUAAUGAGGUGAUUUUUGCAGCAUAGUUCAUCUUAUAUCUUGGAGAGUUUUACUCUACUUGAUUUUGUGGGCUAUGAGGAUUGCUCUUGAGGAAUUAGCAGAAAGAGUUAAUGGAGAUAUGCGAAUGGCACUAAACCAGUUACAAUAUAUGGGCCUCUCCAUGUCAGUUAUCAACUACGAUGAUAUCAAGCAGCGCUUACUUACCAAUGCGAAAGAUGAAGACAUUUCACCAUUCACAGCUGUUGAUAAGCUUUUUAAUUUCAAUGCUGGAAAGAUGAGAAUGGACGAGAGGAUUACUCUUAGCAUGAGUGACCCUGAUCUUGUUCCUCUACUUAUCCAGGUUCUCUAAUCAUUUCCAAUUUCGUAUGCUUGUUUUGUUUUGGGUUAUCUUUUAUGCCCAAUUAUGUACUGGAAUUUAUACUUAGUAGCAGUCUAGUGUUUUAUUCCAUCUCUUGCAUUAACCUCAUUCAACUUUGAUAGUCUAAAUAAUUUGGCUUCUAUCUUGUAACCAAUUUAGCCAUAUAUGUCUGCAUUUAACCACAUAUCUUAUAAAUAAAAGCUCUGUUGUUGAAAACCCCAACUCCACUUUUUCUCAAGUACGAGUUUAUGUUUUGUUUUGAUAAAGCUCUGUUUCUGAGUAGAAGUUUAAUAAACCAUGAUUUUUGAUUUGAAAUCCUAAACUUCCUCUGCUCAAGUUCGAAAUUGUUAGAUGUAGGGAAAAUGGAUAUCUAGUUUGUUUUAUCUGGUUUGCUUAUAUCAUACUUGUCUUAAGUAUGUCAAGAUUGUGUGGUGAAUAUAUAAUUAAUGGCAGGUUUGUUGUAGAGGCCAAUCACAGGUUUUUGCAUAUAGAAUCAAAGCAAAAGUAGUUUCUUUAUCACUUUGGAAUCUAAUAUUACAUGUAAUUCAGUCUCAUUUUUAUGUUGCUGUAAAUUUUAAAACAUAUAUACUCAGGUGAUAUAAUAAAGAAGCUUAUACUCAGACUACUGCAAGCAUCAAAGACAGGUUGCAAUUGGUUUCUUGAUUCUAGUUUAUAGUAAUCAAGAAAAUGCCCAGCAACAUCAUACAAAAGGUGUUGCUGCUCCUUUCUUCCUCCAAUCAACUGUGGAUGAAAUUGCAGUUUAUUUUGUUAUUCUGACUACAGUUUAAUUAGUCACUUUUAUUUGUUUAUAUUAUGUUUGUCUUUUUAAUUAGUCACUUUUAUUCUGACUACAACUAUUGAUUUGUAUCUUCAACUACAUGGCAGCUAGCUAGGUUAACAUGUAUUUUCAAUCAUUCAACAAAAUAUUAAAGUAUUGUGAACGAAUAAUAGAAUGUGGAGAAUGUUUCUUUUUCUUUUAUUUCUCUUCAUUUCUUAUUUUAAGUAUUGUUUUUCUAAUCUAUAACAAUGCUGCUAGUAUAUGGAAAGCAAAAGAUAUGCCAAUGAAUAAUGAUAUUUGUUUGUUUGAAUGAAUGAAUUAGUUACACAGUGGCAGCUUCUAACCUUUUCGAUGCAGGCGGUGAAUUCGUUGAACAUGGAGGAGGACGGUUUCGAAUGGAAUCAGAAUGGGGAUGGAGUUUUUUCGGUUUCGAGCGUGUCCAGACAUAGUCCUGCUGAAUUUAAUGCAUUACUAGUGAUGAUAGGGUUCUAUCUUAAAAUAUGUAAAUUAAUUGAGGUCUGCUAAAUUUACAGGAGUCAGCCCUCUUUGUAGUUCUGCCAAAUUAAAGUUAAUUAUAUAUAUAUAUAUAUAUAUA